rnacentral:rRNA from 1 species
CCUACGGGUGGCAGCAGUGAGGAAUCUUGGUCAAUGGACGAGAGUCUGAACCAGCCAAGCCGCGUGAAGGAUGACUGCCCUAUGGGUUGUAAACUUCUUUUAUAUGGGAAUAAAAUGUUCCACGUGUGGGAUUUUGUAUGUACCAGUUGAUUAAGGAUCGGCUAACUCCGGGUCAGUAGCCGCGGUAAUACGGAGGGUCCGAGCGUUAUCCGGAUUUAUUGGGUUUAAAGGGAGCGUAGGUGGAUUGCUAAGUCAGGUGUGAAAGUUUGCGGCUCAACCGUAAAAUUGCAGUUGAAACUGGCAGUCUUGAGUACAGUAGAGGUGAGCGGAAUUCGUGGUGUAGCGGUGAAAUGCUUAGAUAUCACGAAGAACUCCGAUUGCGAAGGCAGUUCACUGGACUGCAACUGACACUGAGGCUCGAAAGUGUGGGUAUCAAACAGGAUUAGAUACCCGAGUAGUC